rfam:Ovis aries breed Texel chromosome 5, whole genome shotgun sequence.
UCCUUGGUGGUUCAGGUGCUAAGACUCUGCACUCCCAAGGCAGGGGGCCCAGGUUCAAUCCCUGGUCAGGGAA